GUGGUGACGUCAAGGUUCAGGAAGUAAACAAUAACCAACGGCGACGGAGUCAGUGGUAUUUCUGAAAUCUUCUGUCCAAAACAGACAAGAUAAAGACAUUAAAGGUUGAACUUCAGGCCCGGUUCUGCAGAU